rnacentral:rRNA from 1 species
CGGCGUAGGCGGUUUGGACAGUCAGGCGUGAAAUUCCCGGGCUUAACCUGGGGACUGCGCUUGAUACAUCCAGGCUCGAGUGAGGAAGAGGGUCGUGGAAUUCCCAGUGUAGAGGUGAAAUUCGUAGAUAUUGGGAAGAACACCGGUGGCGAAGGCGGCGACCUGGUCCUUUACUGACGCUGAGGCGCGAAAGCGUGGGGAGCAAACAGGAUUAGAUACCCUGGUAGUCCACGCUGUAAACGAUGUGCGCUGGAUGUUGGGCGACCUAGUCGCUCAGUGUCGUAGCUAACGCGGUAAGCGCACCGCCUGGGGAGUACGGCCGCAAGGUUGAA